AGCCCACCUGUACUGCCAACCGCCGCCUCCCCGGCUGGAUGCCGCGGACUUUGAGCUCAGGCCACGGGGCUCCGCGCAGGAAUACUUGGAAGAAGCCCUCUGGUAUGGAGUCCAAAUUACUCUGCAUCACCAAGGUUAUGGUAAAUAAAACAGUAAAAAAGCAAGAACAGAUGUGACCGGUAAGCUAAUUUAACCUAAGUUCUAUAAUAACGUACAUAUGUUAGAGCUGCAUUGACCUUAGAGAGCAGCCACUUUCCAAGGUCAUAUAUUUUACUCAUUUGAGACCUGUAUACAAAACUGAAAAUAGUAGUAGUAAUUAGUUGACAGACAAGCCUUUGAUGACUCUUUCAGAGUUGGGCAAAUAAUUUCCUUUCUCCAGAACCAUACAUAGGAGAUAGAGUAAAACAAAUACUUUCAAUAAGAGUAAUUACCUAAACAAUCUUUUGAAGAUAAUUAUAGUAGUUUUAAGGUCAAGAGAUAGUAAAGACAAAAAGAUAUUUCUCUAAGAAAAAAAUAGCUCACAUAAGAGUAGAAAUUCUACAGUAAUUAUGUUACAUACCAAAACAUGAGCUCUACUAUCCAUUUGCUGGUGGAAAAUGUGAAAGAUUGUCUGCACCUGAGAGUCAAGUGAUGAGAUAAUUGUCUCCAACUGGUCCAUUUUAAAUUUAUACAUGGAAGUGAUAGUUUCUCAAACAUGGCCAAGCAUUUUUCAUUUUGUUCCUUGAUUUUAUUGGAAAAAUUAUACUAGUAAAUAUUAUCCAAAUAUUUUUGCCACAUUUGUUCACUAAAAUUAGAGCACUGAAUUUACCUGGAAUUUUUUUUUUUUAAUUUGAUCUGUAAACUAAUCAUUAUAACCUCAGUAAUUUAAGAUAACCUGAGUAUUUCAGGAUAUAAACUAUUCCAAAAAGUAAUCAAACAAUAUGUCUUUGUGAUCAUUAUAUUUAAUACUUAGUUCAAAAUAGUCUACUUCUUCCAAAUUACUUCUGGAAUAAAUAAACCUAAUUUAUUCUGUUUAAAAGCA
rnacentral:lncRNA from 1 species